AGUAAUGAUGGCGAUGGAGCUCGCCGAAACCGCCCUUCGUUAUUAAUAAUCUUCAUAACGUUUAAAAGGCUGAUGGCUCCUACUGUUCC
rnacentral:ncRNA from 2 species